GGGGGGAUAGUUUUCUUGGGACAAGCUAAGAAAACAAAAAAAAUGAAUUAAACACACAACUUCAAAGUUAUAAUAAGCUUWAAAACAGUUAAAAUAAAUAAACCAGUAAAAAGGUAAACAAAAAAUAAAGAAGACAAAUCUUAAUCACAUUCAUCCAAACAAUAGGAAGCACAAAAGCAAAACAACCCUUAACUAGUAAUAAAAUGACAGUAUAAGUAAAACACAUAACAACAAAUUACAGAAUAAAAAAAAUUAACAAAGGAACUCGGCAAAAAAUAAAGAGCAAAGACUGUUUAACAAAAACAUAGCUUCUAGAAAUGAUUAGAAGUAAAAUCUGCCCAGUGAAAAUACUUUUUAAACGGCCACAAUCUGUGCUAAGGUAGCGAAAUCAAUUGUCCUCUUAUUAGGGACCAGUAUGAAUGAAAAAACGAUGCUCAACUGUCUCUGUUAAUUUUUCAAAAGAAAUUAGUAAUUAAGUGAAAAAACUUAACUAAAAAUAAAGGACGAGAAGACCCUAUAGAGUUUAAAUAUAAGCUCAACUUUUUACACAUAAUAAAAAUUAAAGCGUAUUUUAAUUGGGGAAAUGAAGGAAUAAAAAAAAUCCUAUAAAAAAAAUUUAUUUAUAGUAAAACACCAUAGCCUCAAAGAGAAAGAAAAAAACUACCUUAGGG
rnacentral:rRNA from 1 species